CUUCUGCUCAAUGAUAAUUAAAUAGCCGCAGUACCUUGACUGUGCAAAGGUAGCAUAAUCAGUUGGCUUCUAAUUAAAGUCUGGAAUGAAUGAAUGUAUGGAUAGUUGCUGUCUUAUAUAUACUUUUUGAACUUAGUAAAUAAGUGAAAAUACUUAUAUUAUUAUAAAAGACGAGAAGACCCUAGAAACUUGAAUUGAUUUUUGUUGGGGCGACAAAAUUACAUUUAACUAAUUUUUGUUAACGAGACGUAAUAAUGGAAGAAUAAGUUACUCUAGGGAUAACAGCAUAAUUUUAAUAAUAGUUUGUGACCUCGAUGUUGGACUAGGUACUUUAUUCUUAAGGCAAGAAUAAAGACUGCUCUGUUCGAGCAAGCAUACCUACAU
rnacentral:rRNA from 1 species